rnacentral:rRNA from 1 species
AACGAACGCUGGCGGCAGGCCUAACACAUGCAAGUCGAGCGAAGCCUUCGGGCUUAGCGGCGGACGGGUGAGUUACGCGUGGGAACGUGCCCUUUGGUACGGAAUAGCCCCGGGAAACUGGGAGUAAUACCGUAUGAGGUCGAGAGACGAAAGAUUUAUCGCCAAGGGAUCGGCCCGCGGUGGAUUAGGUAGUUGGUGGGGUAAUGGGCUACCAAGCCGACGAUCCAUAGCUGGUUUGAGAGGAUGAUCAGCCACACUGGGACUGAGACACGGCCCAGACUCCUACGGGAGGCAGCAGUUGGGAAUUUUAGACAAUGGGGGAAACCCUGAUCUAGCCAUGCCGCGUGAUCGAUGAAGGCCUUAGGGUUGUAAAGAUCUUUCAGUGGGGAAGAUAAUGACUGUACCCACAGAAGAAGCCCCGGCUAACUCCGUGCCAGCCGCCGCUGUAA